rnacentral:rRNA from 1 species
GAUGAACGCUGGCGGCGUGCUUAACACAUGCAAGUCGAACGAUGAAGUCCAGCUUGCUGGGUGGAUUAGUGGCGAACGGGUGAGUAACACGUGAGUAACCUGCCCUUAACUCUGGGAUAAGCCUGGGAAACUGGGUCUAAUACCGGAUAGGAGCGCCUACCGCAUGGUGGGUGUUGGAAAGAUUUAUCGGUUUUGGAUGGACUCGCGGCCUAUCAGCUUGUUGGUGAGGUAAUGGCUCACCAAGGCGACGACGGGUAGCCGGCCUGAGAGGGUGACCGGCCACACUGGGACUGAGACACGGCCCAGGCUCCUACGGGAGGCAGCAGUGGGGAAUAUUGCACAAUGGGCGAAAGCCUGAUGCAGCGACGCCGCGUGAGGGAUGACGGCCUUCGGGUUGUAAACCUCUUUCAGUAGGGAAGAAGCGAAAGUGACGGUACCUGCAGAAGAAGCACCGGCUAACUACGUG